GACGCACGCUGGCGGCGUGCCUAAUACAUGCAAGUCGAACGAGUGGCGGACGGGUGAGUAACACGUGGGACCCUACCCAUCAGAGGGGGAUAACUACUCGAAAGAGUGGCUAAUACCGCAUACCAUUGGAGCGGCCGAUAUCGGAUUAGCUAGUUGGUGGGGUAAAGUCUAACCAAGGCAACGAUCCGUAGCUGGUUUGAGAGGCCGCCCAACAUCACUGGGACUGAGACACGGCCCAGACUCCUACGGUAGGCAGCAGUGGGGAAUUUUGGACAAUGGGGGAAACCCUGGUCCAGCCAUCCCGCGUGUAUGAGAAGGCCUUCGGGUUGGAAAGUACUUUUGGCAGAGAGGCGUUAUCUUCAGAAUAAGCACCGGCUAACUACGUGCCAGCAGGCGCGGUAAUAC
rnacentral:rRNA from 1 species